CCACGUCGUGCAACAAACUCCUUUAGUGCUCGUUUGAAUUCUUCAGCUGUCAUAUCUUUGCAAAGUCUGAGAUAUACGGCCAUGGUACUUGCGCAUGUGAACAGCGCAACGUAUGCCUUGCUUGUCUCGUGCUUUCCUGUCUUAUGCAAAAGUGGUCCGGCAAAGUCCACCCCUACCACGUCAAAGGGAUCUGUGAAUUUCGUUCGGUAGGUAGGUAAAUCCGAGAUGGUUGGCGUGGCCAGUGCUCUAGCUCGAUAUUUCUUGCAGUAGUUACAAGCAUGUCGUACAUUCCUAACCAGCGAUCUCAAUUUUGGGAUCCAAAAUUUCUCUCUUACCUUGUACAUGGUUGCUGCAACUCCCCCAUGCAAGGUUUGUAGAUGACUGUGCUCRACUAUGAGCUUGGCAAGUUUUGAUCGUCUUGGGACAAAGACAGGAUUAUAUCCAUUAAUCCUCGUACGACAUCGCAUUAUUUGGUCUUCAUCUCUUACUAGUGUCAGUACAGACGUCAUGUCGCUUGUUCUUUGUGUUAUUUGAAUCCAUGUCUUUUCAGCUCCCGUUAUCUCCCUCCUGGUAAGUGGUCCAACUCUUCUGUUCUUCUUGCAAGCGUCAAUGAAACGUUUCAGGUAUGAAGUUAUGCGUAGAAGUUUCCAGUACUUGUACUUGUUCAUAGCACUUUCGGCCCAAUCUUUUGCUGCUUCUCUCACAUGGGGUUUUGCCAUCAGCCCUGUUUCAAACUUGCUGUUCUUACGCGGUUUCUCCACCUGGACCUCGUCCGUUUCCACAAUUUCUGGUUGAUUUGGUAUGUUGGUGUUGUCUGAUAGCCAGGUUGGCCCCCUGAACCAUAGCGCAUUGAGCUUGYCUGGUGGUGUUCCCCUUGUUCCUAGGUCGCUGGGAUUUUCGCUUGUUGGUACGUACCUCCACGAUGAAUCUGUCAGCUUCAAGAUCAUUUGUACUCGAUUUCGCACGAAUGUCGACCACUCGCCCUUGUUUGCAAGCCAGUAGAGAACGGUCACGCUGUCAACCCAAUUAUGCUUGGCAUAGAUCGGAAAUGAAGCCAAAGCUUUGUUGACGUUGUUCUGAAGCUUUGCCAAGGUAAGCGCUGCCACCAGUUCUAGUCGCGGAAUACUCACGUUUUUUGGUGCAAUCCUUGAUUUGGCAACAAGUAGGUUCUGGUCAAGCGGAACUGAGUUCUGGUAAGUCACGAUGUAAAUAGCGGCGCAAACCGCUUUUUUACUGGCAUCUGCGAAGCCRUGAAUCUCGAAGUGUGUUCCAUGAAGUGCAAACACACAGCGCGGGAUGGUUAUGGUCGAUGCUCUCUUCAAGGUAUUGACCCAUGCUCUCCACUUGCGGCUGAUAUCUUCCGGAACUCGUUCGUCCCAAUGUAGCUGGAGAAGACAGACUUCACUGAAAAUGAUCUUUGCUGUGACGGUGGCUGGUGCGCUCCAUCCCAGCACAUCGUAAAUGCUGUUAAUGGCAGCGAUAAUCUUCCUCUUUGUGAGUGGUUCCACUUCCUUAAGGCAUGAUUGAAAGCUGAUAGUGAAUGUAUCCUCUUUCUUAUUCCAAGGUAUGCGAAGGACUUUUGUCUCUUGUAUCUGUUUAUUUCCUACCACAGUAUUAGCGUAUGUUUCUUCAUCAUCUUGGGUGGUCUCGACUGCGUUUAGACGCCCUACGUUACUAUGCCACUUGUGGAGAUUGAAGCCAGCAUUUGAAAGAAUCUUGGCGGACUCUUUCRUGAACUUCUCUACGUCAUAUUCGGUGUCCCCUCCUCCUUGAAUAUCAUCAACGUAGGUAUCUCUUAACAGGGCUUGGGCAGUCGUAGGGUAAAUCUCCUCGUACUCUCUGAUGUGUUUUUGCAACGUCGCUCCCAGGAGGUAAAGGCUUGAAGUAGCUCCAAAGAUCACUCGCGUGAAUCUGAAUUGUUUCACGUUUCUUUCCUCUAUGUUAUCGUACCACAGGACGCGCUGUGCAUCCCUAUCUUCCUCCUUGACGUGUAUUUGGAGAAACGCCUUCUGGAUGUCCCCCGUUAAACAGAACUUGCGCAGUCUGUUUCGUAAGAUAAUGUCAAACAGCAUAGGUUGGAGCGGCGGUCCCGUUUCCAAACAGUCGUUGAGAGAUGGGCUGUGUACACUCUCUCUCGCGGAAUAGUCAUAAACGAUUCUCAUCUUUGUCRUCUCUGCACUGUCUCGGAUUACAGCUUGAUGCGGAACGUAAUGUACGACCUCCCCCGUUGGGUUCUCUGGAACUGGUUCGAUGAUCCCAUUCUCCAUCUGGUCUCGCAUAAUUUGGUCGUACUCCUGUAGUCUUCCCAUUCUUUCCAACUGCCUUGUAGUACUGAGUAGACGGGCGGUGGCCAAGCUUUUAUGGGUGGGGAGUGGUAGGUGGUCCUCUUUCCAUGGUAGUUUUGUCUCGUAAUGCCCACCUUCCGUUCUCUGGAGCUGCUGUAAGAUUUCUUCGUGGAUCUCAGCAUUUUUCUUUGGUCCCGUGUCUUCAAUGCCUAGAACAUCUUGUGCGCACAGUUUUUCGAACUCUUCCUGGCCUGUCUUUAGGAGAAAGUUCUUUUCUGGAUGGCUUGAUGUCGGUUGUUUUUGUCCAUAAAUGGCCCAACCAAGCAUGGUGAACUCGGCUCCAGGGUCCUUGUCUGGGUUGAAUCCCAACACAACAGGUUUUGUCGUUCGUAUUCUUUGGUAAUCAGCAGCACCCAGGAUGAUAUGAACCGGCAUGAUGUCACAGCUUGUUUCUUCCUCACUAAAGUCUAGCCGUCUGAGUUGACUUUGUUGCUUCUUCAAGGUACGUAUAUUCGGGUUUGGUAAGUUCGUUAGCACGUCCUUCUCAGCAUUAAGGCACUCCACGUCCAAAGAGAAACCUUCAACUGCAAGUGACUGUAUGUUAAUGCCGUAAACCUCGACGUUCUUUUUCACGAUGCCAUACAUCUGCUUGAUGCGGCGUUGCUCUUUUCUCAAAGGUUUCAAACAAAGCUUGGUAAUUAACUCUGUGCACAAAUAUGAGCUCCCUGCCCCGGUAUCGAACAUCACUCGGACCGUUUCGGAUCCCACUCGAACCAAUAUUGUUGGAUGCCAGGUACUUGGCUGUCCCAUGAAUACGCUCAUGUUUUUCUCGGGUUUUUGGUUUGGUACCAGUUCUGCGACUGUAGACUUCUCCUCACAAAUUGAAGUAUGGUGUUUCCCCUGGCAGUUCUUACAUCCUCUCGAUCUGCAUUUUGAAGCCACGUGUCCCACUCCUGUACAAUUGAAGCACAUUCUGUUCCUUUGCAGUAUUGCUCGUCGGGCUUUGGCUCUUCCAUUCUUCCUAGGAGGAGCUUUUCUUUUCUCCAUGGUUGCGACGGUCUCGACUGUCACCUCUCUUUCCAGAAGCGCUUUUUUCAUCCCCGACUGGCAAUGGGUUUCUUUCGAUGUAUUUUCGUAGGUUUUCUAUCAUUUCUUCUAGCCCCCACUCUUCCCACUCGUCGUCCUUCUGCACCAGUACUUCUCGAACAGGUCCAAAUUUGUCCAUCAGAGUGUACACCAUGCUUUGCGCAGUUGUUAACUUUUUCAUUGUGGUUAGUGUGCGCACUAUCCUUGCGAGCUUCCUGUAAAAGUCGUGUAUGCUGUUAAGCUUGUGUAUACUGGUAAUCGCUGGCAAUUCUUCUAAUUCCUUUAUCAAGGCUUUGUGCGCUUUGAUGUCUUUUCCGUAGGUCUGUUGGAGAAUUCGUUUAGCUUCUUUGUAUCCAUCCUCUGUAUGUGGAAAUCCUAGGAUAUCAUCCUUCAGUUUCCCUUGCACAAACUCCAACAGGUAGUUGAACUUGCUGAUUUCCGAGAUCCCUGAUCCAUCAACUUCCACUGUAAACUGAUUCCAAAAACGCAUCCAGUCCUUGUAGUCACCGUUGAAGGGCGUGAUUGUGUACUUCUGCAAUUUCACUGACUGUGGGAGAGAUUUCCCUUGUUUCUCUGUCUCCCCAUUCCCCAUGGCCUCUACUCUGCUCGAUGUCUCGCUUGUUCCUCAUUAACCUUUUGCUGAAUUCGUAGUUCUUUUUCCAUCUUGAUUUGAGCCUCUUUCUCCUCCAUCUCCUCCAGUUGCUUCUUUAUCUGGAGUCUUACCUCUUUAARCGGUUGAAGAAGUCCUUUAUGUUUUGAAGUCCACUCUUUUAUGUAAUCCAGGCUUUUGUCUGAUUCCAUCAGGUGAUCAGCUACCCCAUCCUUUGACCUUUCAAGCCGUUUGAUUAACUCCUCCUUGACGAAAUCCUCCUUCUCUGAGCACUUUAACUAGUUCUGUCGCAAUGUGCACAGCUUCCUCUGUUGUUGGAGUGGAUUUCAGGACAUCGUCUACAUAAAAGAUUCUAUGCACGCUCUCAAUAACUGGGUCGUAUCCCUGUUUGUUGUCUUCAGAUGUCAUCUUCAGAGCCUUAUUAGCACAACAUGGUGACGAUUUGGCGCCAAAGAUGUGUGCCAGCAUUUGGUAUUCCUGGGGCGGAUCAUCAGUACUUCCGGGCCACCACAGGAACCUCAACGCAUCCGUGUCUUCUGGAGUAACCUCUACUUGAUUGAACAUGCCCUCGGUGAAUGCAGCUUCGUUUUGUCGGAAUCUUAUUAGCUCCCCGGAGAGAUCAUUGGUGAGACACGGACCUUGCAGUAGACAGUCGUUCAAUGAUACUCCAGCGAACUUGGCGGCAGCAUCACAGACGAUCCUAACCUUAUUGGGCUUGUUGGGAUUCAAGACCGGAUGAUGUGGGAGAUACCACGUCAAGUUGCUACGUUUAGCGGCUUCCUCAUCUGUCAACCUUCUAUCGUACCCCUUAGUCAGGUAUUCUUUCAUCGCAGUUCUGUACUUCGACUCUAGUUCAGGAUCACGACGAAAACGUUUCCUUAGAUGUUGCAGUCUCGCUUCCGCAAGCUUUCGGUUGUACGGUAGUGAAAUGUUCUCAUCCUUCCACAAUAGACCCAUCUGAUAAUGAUCGCCGUUCCUUGUGAUUGUACUGUCGAUUCACUUCAGCGCCUGCUGGUCCUCCACGGAGAGAAGUCCUGUCUUGAGGUUGUUGGUACCGUAUGAUUCUACCUUCCAGAAUUCUUCUAGUUGGCGACUGAGCUGGAGGUCUUCACCGGCAACAAAGUUCGAGUUUGCGCGUUGCUUAGUCGACUCCUUGGCAGCACCACCGAGGAUGCUCCAUCCUAAGCUGCAUCUUAUGGCGAUUGGUGCAUUUGACUUUCCUCUUCUAACCUCCAAUGGUAUGAAGACUUCACUAACGUUGGUGCCGAUCAAGACAGCUCUUCGCCUAUUGAUGCUAGCUUGAAGCUCACCUUCUCCGCCUGGUAAGGCACGUCUUUGUCACUUACAGUGUUGAGAUAGAGUGUUCCUGGUUUUCCCUUGAUGUUGAGCUCUUUGAUCAAUGAAGGGUCGACUAGCGUGACGUCUGAGCUCGAGUCUAUUAAACAGUACGUUGUAAUUAAAUUAGAGCCUUCGUCAGUUAUCUUUAGAGGAAGCACUUGUAGCAUGAUGUCCUGUGUGCUAUCUGCAGCCGUGGAACAAGAUUUAGUUAUACUUAAGUUUGUCUUCUUGGUCUUAACCUCGUUGUCGUUCUCUGGGUGUUUCUCGUCUCCUCGGACUGCAGUGUUUGUCUGCGGUUCUGUAAAGCGCAAUAAGGAGUGAUGGGGUUUUCCGCAACCUGACGUCUGGCACCGAGUUGCGCAUUUGCAUGUCUUGGAUGUAUGUUCUGUGGAACUUAGACAGUUGAAACAAAGUCUCUUUGUCUUUACAAAUUCAUUCCUCUCCUUUGGUGACUUCGCUCUAAAGAGCUCGCAUCGAUAAAGAUGAUGUGGAUUUUCGCACAAUGGACACGUUUCUUCUUUCUUUGUUGUUGUAGUGUAGGCUGUCACUCUGUAGUGAGCAGGUGUGGUUUUCUGUCGGUCGACUUUGUGGUGUUUUUGUGGAAACCACUUCACUGGACGCUCUUGAAAGAAAUGGAUGGUUCAUAACUUCUGCUCGAUCUCGUAGGAAAUCGACCACGUCSUUGAAUGUUGGCAUUUCUUGUCCACCUUUCUUCUUGUUCGUCGCUUCCACGAACUUGGUCUGGGCCCACGUCGGAAGGCGCGCGAUGAUUCUCUCUAGGCUGUCCGUAUUCAUUUCUUCUAGAUAGCCCAGGCUGUUCAAGGUAUAGUACGUUGCUUGAGCGUCAUCCGCCGUUUGCUGUAAGGCUCCUUUGUCGUUCUGAAUUGCAGGGCCGUUUGUAAGUGCGUCUACACACGCGCGUACCACUUGGGCGGGGCGCCCAAAACGUUCUUGGAGAGUCCUUAGCGCGCUGGUGAGACCCACUGGUAGGGCCUCAUAACGCUGCACAGCUUUUAGGGCUGGACCUUCUAGAAACUGUAAUAGCAACGUCAUUUUCACCGAUUCAUCUAGACUACGCGAUUCGACCAUUUGACUGAAACGUUGGCGGAAAGUCGGAAACUUCUCAGGUGAUCCGCACUUGUACCUUGGGUAGAUCUUGGGUCAUACUUAUGUUUGAUAUUGCCGAGGCAAUAGUGGUAAGAAGACUGUCGUUAACACAAGAGUAUCCGACUGCGCUGGUCGUGGUCGAGGCCAAUUUUCUUCGUGUAGGGUCAGGCUCUGCUGUCUCCACUUUCGUCUCUUCUGUCUCCACUUGUCUUGGACACCUGUUUUCUUGUUGGGGGCAACGGAACUCUCUACUUGAUCCAUAACACGAUAAGGAUCUUUCGCUUGAGCAUGUAACAAUUCACCUUCGUACGUAAGCAGGUCAGGGACCGCGUCGAGUUUCACUUGUUUUGCAGCACUGGCWUUUCUCUCAAUGGGCAGCAAGACUGUGGUCUUGGGCGUCAAAGCAGACAGGGGCGUUGACGCGUGGGGUGGAGCCAUUGAGGUGCACGUGCCCAGGGGGCUUGUAAAUGCAAGUACCGGCGAGGGGUAAAUGCCACUUCUGAAGUCUGCAGGACUUUUCCUGAAUCCAUCUCUUGACUAGAGAAUUCUUUAAAACCUUGUUGAUGUCUGUAGAGGGGUGGCCUGUCAACCAUUUGYAUAUCAUCCGACGUGACGAUGUCUGAGAACAUAGGAGGGGGUGGUAUGACGAGCGAGGCAAUCAUUUCCUCCAAAUCGUCCUCGUGUGACUCUUGUCUUACCUCUUGUCUCGUGUCUUGUCUUCUCAUCUCUAGUGACUGUUGGAUCUCCAUUUCGGUUUGCUUGAUUUCUUGCUCGAGUCUUGUAACUUCAACAUCAAUAGCACCAGUCAUAAACAUUUAUUUUCUCGUUGUAUUCUUUCUUUCUCUUUACUUGCGCUUGAUAUUGCUCCAUUAUGCUUAAAUAUUUUCCACAGGARUCGUCGAGUAGAUCGAAAUAUUGUUGACAACAUUGUUGAUAACGAUCAAAGGCGAUUCCAACUUUUACCAACUAGCUUUGCCACGCAAAACCUCGUAAAAAUGUUCUUGUAGACAGGUAGGUUGUAUAUAUCCUUAAAGGACAUUGGCAAUAUAGAAAAACGCAGUCUUUUUAAGGCUCACACUAUGGUGCAACAUUAAAUAUGCUAUUAUUUCAUGAAGAAACCGAUAUAGUGGGAAAUAAAGCGCAAAUUAAUUUGGCCAAAAUUCUUUAGCGUCCGCCAUCUUGAAUAGUCUGUUGAAAUAAUUAACUUCAAUAUGACGUCAUUAGCAGGGUAGAAUGAAAACAGACCUUGAUUUUAGGACUAGUUUUUGGAGAAAGUGAACGUAAAAAUUAGUUUCUAGUGUCCUUUUAUGUAAGACUAUGGAGCCGUAAACUGGGCAAUACAUUUUGUUUUCAUCUUGUACAACCAGAUGUUUCAAUGCUACCCUGGUAAUGACGUCACAUGAAUAAAUUUGCAUGUGGAAGAUUUUCAAAAUGGCGGAAUAGGGGCCGACUAAAGGCAAGUAACAAUUCGUUUUCUCGCCACCCUUACAAUCCAGAUAAAUAAAACACCACCAUAAAGACUAUUUGUGCAUAUACUUUUAAUGAUAGGUUGCUUGAAUUAUAUUGCUAAUGUCCUUUAAAUCUUGGUCGCGGAUGAGCAGAUGGUCAAGAUUUGAACAGAUUUUGUCCGCUAUGGUUAACCAGCCAUGCAAGAUGGCGAAGCGUAGCGUAGUAAGUGACCAGUCGUGCGCAUGCGUAGUUAUCUCGUAGAAUCUCUAUUGUAGAUGACUGAUUAGAACUACAUAUCCAUCGCUUACAUAUAAGAUGUUUCCCAAACACUCAGAAGACCUAUAAGAUAAAGGCUUACGCACCAUCUUCAAGUUUGACACUACCCUAUGCAGACAACUAGUACACCCUAAAGACCCAGUCCCUUCUGGCCGACAAGACGGAGUAGUCUACAAGAUCUCGUGCAGGGAGUGUGACAACGUGUACAUCGGUGACACGGUACAAGAAAGAUUGAAAGAACAUGAGAGAUACGUCCGUUUACCUCGGACCCAGACCUCUACCGUCUCCGAGCACGCCWAUACCACCGGCCACUGCACAGAUUGGAACAACGUCGAGUGCAUUAACAGAGACAACCACUGGUACACACGCAGAGUCAAAGAAGCCAUUCAUAUUAGACACCAUCCCAACAACAUCUAUAGGGAUUGCGGAAUUGAGAUUCCUGAAGCGUGAAUACCGACCAUUCGAACGUACUUUCACACGUCAAACCAGCGGACUCGCUUUGUUCGUGAUAUGAUAUGGAAACUCGUGAAUAACACGAUAUCAAACUCUUGACAUGUGAUAAUCUCUAUGUAAUAUUUUAUUGUACUAUUACUUAUAGGUUUUAGUUCUAAAAAGAAGAUAUAACUAGCUAAAAACUAGUGUGAGCUGCGUCGGUGUUUCUAAUGAAACAGUAAUGAUGAAAAGACCUGAUGUAUUGGAACCUGCUUCACUGAACAGACAGAUGCAUUUUUAUGCAUCGGAGAUCAACCGAAGGUUUAGAAAAGAAAACUAAAGUUCUUCAACAAGAAGAAAAGAAAACCAUAGCUUACCACUAGACAGGACACAUCUCGGUUGGGUGCCCAUUAUUCUUAGAGGGAAAGGAUUAUAUUAUGCACAAUAUUGUCUAAAGAAGCAUAUUUAUCAUCCACAGAACAGUACUAUCUAGCCCAUACUUGCCAUCGUCCACUUGAAACAGAGAAGACCAUAUCGUGUAUGAGUAUCGAUGCUGCCACUAACAAGGUAAGACACAGCACAGCG